UAAUUGGUGACUUGUAUGAAGGAUUGGAUGAAAUAUAAACUGUCUCUAAGUUAAAUUUAGAAAUUAAUUUUUUAAUUAAAAAGUUAAAAUAAAUUAAAAAGACGAGAAGACCCUAUAGAGUUUUAUAAAUAAUUUGAUUGAGGUUAUUUAAAUAUAAAAAGAUUAAAAUAAAAUUAUUUAUUUUAUUGGGGUGAUAGAAAAAUAAAUAUAACUUUUUUUAAAAAUUAAAACAUUUAUAAGUGAUUAAAUGAUCCAAUAUUGUUGAUUAUAAGAAAAAAUUACCUUAGGGAUAACAGCGUAAUUUUUUUUUUUAGUUCAAAUAAGAAAAAGAGUUUGCGACCUCGAUGUUGGAUUAAGAUAAAAUUUAAAUGCAGAAG
rnacentral:rRNA from 1 species